UACGGAGGAUCCGAGCGUUAUCCGGAUUUAUUGGGUUUAAAGGGUGCGUAGGCGGCCUUUUAAGUCAGCGGUGAAAGUCUGUGGCUCAACCAUAGAAUUGCCGUUGAAACUGGGGUUCUUGAGUGAGCGAGAAGUAUGCGGAAUGCGUGGUGUAGCGGUGAAAUGCAUAGAUAUCACGCAGAACCCCGAUUGCGAAGGCAGCAUACCGGCGCUCAACUGACGCUGAGGCACGAAAGUGCGGGUAUCGAACAGG
rnacentral:rRNA from 1 species